ACAUUGACAAGCCAGCGCCUUGGUGGCUCCCACGGAAUGAUGGAGGGCAAAUGGUCGCACGCGAAAGGCCUGCAGAGGAGGGAAGUGUGUUUGGUCUGUCAGGGAUGAUUGACUGGUUCCUUUUUCCGAAAACUAACCUUAAACGGGGUCACUACUGCUUACGAUAUAAACGCAUGCAGAAUACAUCAUUUUUAUUCGGUUACACCAAAGUAUGAAUUCAUAUUUUGUGGACUUGUAUUUGUGAUACACCAAUCUCGGUUAUUUAACCUUAAGUGUUAACACACAGUAGGAGAUUGUGUUGCUGCAACACAAAUGAAGUGUCAUUACAGCCACAUUGUGUUCAUAAAUGAUCUUGAUCAACUUGAAAACCAACAUGUUUUAAAUAAGAAUGUAUGGAACUCCUGUUAUUUUGGUAAACAAAGAACAUCACACACAAUAUUGGAUGAGUUAUAUCUAAACUGAAUUACAGAAAUCUGAUCUAUAUGCAGGUUUUAUUUUGGAUAGUAUAACUGAUGAAAAUUACACUUCAACAAGAACAUGCUUUUGUUUUCUUUGGGCUUUUAAUGAAUGACUUCAUAGAAAGAAAGAGUUAUUUGUUCAUAGGUUAAAUUCUGUUUAUUAAUAUCUCAUAUCAGGCACUGAACUUAUUCUUUUUUCAGUUUUUUUUUAUUUAAUUUAAUUUUGUAAAUGUGAUACAGAUGAUGUCAAAUAACUGUUGAUAUCUGGAGACACAUUGCUUAGCAUCUAUGUGUGUGUCUGUGGGUGUGUGUGUGUACACUAAUGCACAGAAAUCUGUCAGUCACAAAACACAGGCUCAGCUGAUCACACAAACAACCCACUGGAUGCUCCUGCUGCCGCUGACUUGUUUUUACCUCUCGCUCAUUUUGUUGGUUAGUAGUCUUCUGUCACUGAACUGGGCUGUAAACUUGAAAAACAAUCCAUCCUGUGUCAUAAUUCAUGACCGAAUGCGAGGGGUCGGGGCGGUGAUGCAGUGCCAGAGGCUGAGAUUAAACACGGCACCCUUUAGCGCCAUUGGAGAGAAUUAUGACCUUUGAAAUCUGAGCCUCUUUUUUUGUCUAUUUCCAAAGGUGUAAUUUAAGCUGGUGAAGGGCUGCGAGAUCAAUCAGAGAGGAUGCGGCGUCGGGAGAAAUGAAAGCGGCUGCGGGUUAAGAAGGGAAAGGUGGAGCAGGAACAGGGCUUCUGCCUUCCCCGCUGCUCUCUCUGGGUGGUGAAGUACGACCACAAAUAGGCGGUCCUCUGCCCCUUGUGUUGGUGCUAUUUUUAUACUCGCUAAUGCAGGGGGUUUGGAGAACCAGCUCAAGUGGUGAAGUGACAAGAACAUAUUAUUGUUGGCUUGGAGUUGAGAGAGCUGCAGUGAUCAAAGGAUUAAGCAUGCCCAUGGAGGCUGUGACAGAAUUACCCUUGCGUUGUUAAUUCUUUAUUACAUCAGGGCUCUGAUGGGCUCACUUUUUCCUCAGCGUGGAUACGACAUUUGUUGAAGUAUUUGUACAUUGGAUCAAUUUCUGGGUAUGGAUUGUGUUUUGGUUCAAGAUAUUAUAGUUAGUUUAGAGGUCCAACCUUCAUCCACAGGUUCACGUUUUUGCCUACUUUGUUUCUCCACAGUCGACCUUUUUCAGAAUUUUCUGUUCUUGGUAUAAAAAACAAGAAAGGUGGGACGGUUUCAGAGGAAUUCGGUCAAAACAGCGUGUUUUAGCGGGGCUUAUGAAAUCCAAGUGAAAUGAACGAGAGAAGGAUGAAAUGAAUGGCAUGCCGCAAUAAUUUGGCAGUAGUUUGACAUUUGAUGAGCACAAUGAAAAGAAGGGCAGAUAUGGAAUAUCAUCCUUUGACUUUGGAUGAUGCGAGUUAACUAUCCAUUCAUUUAAAUGAGUCGGAUUCUGAGUGGUUUGCAAAAAAAGAACAUUUGUACCUUGUACUAGACUAUCAAAUAUGUUGAAAAUACAGGGAUGACAUGGUAUUAGUGGGCACCCCAAAUUCUGCAGAUGAAUAAUAUGCAUAUACAUACAUACCUAUGUACAGUACUGGGAUCAUACCAAAUCACAUCUAAUCAAUCAGUACAUAGUAGAGAGAGAAGAUCAACAGUAAGAAACGGGGUGACAGUUGUUGGGAUCUCUGAUCCCCCCGAGUUGGUAGAUGAGAAGAAUCGCAGCACGUUAAUCAAUUAAAGUCAAAAAGGUAACAUUUAUAAAGAAGAGAAAAAGAUUACAUGAGCAAUUCUCCGCAGAUAUAUUUGGCUCUAAUUAUGGCUUGCAAGCAGGAGGUCAAAUACACCGACACGUAUUACAGAGUUUUCAUACACAUAGGAAGGCCAUCCUCAGUGCAGGUACGAGAAGCUGCAAACACAAGUUGAGAUAAGAACCACGGUUAAGAUGAGGGUAACGCACACAGUUCCUUUGUUCGAGCGUCUGUGUGAGCAAGUUAACUCCCUUCUUCAGACACAGCUGCAUGUGGAGACCGUACAUCUUUCUGCUUGUGCACAUCACUUCAUUAAAGACAAUAAUCACUCUUUCAGCAUAAGACUGUGUUAUAACAUAUUUUUAGUAUUACAUGCAUCUCACACAAUAAUCCCUUUUUUCAGAAUAAUGAGUAGACAUAUUCUUCAUGAUCCUUAUUGGUAUUUGAGCGCUUGUUCCUCAACCUUCUGUUAAGGGCUGCAUGGUGGUGUGCUGGCUAUUGCUAUAGAUUCCCCGGUUAUGGGGAGUUGGCAGGUUUUUCCCGUGUCAGCGCGGGUUUUCUCUUCCCACACUCCCUCCAGUUGAUCCGGUUGAUCUCUCUGGUGAAGUUGGUGUGAGUGUGAAUGGUUUUGCGUCUCUAUGUGUCAACCUGUGACUUGGUUUGUUGACCAGUCCAGAGCUGAUCGUGCAUUUGUAGCUGUCUGUAUGUCCAUGCUGUGACUUCCUUGACAACCGUUCAUGGAUUGGGCGUUCUGCUGAGGACCCAAAGGGUUGCAUUGUUGACUGUGAGCUCUUGAGAUCUGUGGGACACAUUUAUUAGUAGUGGGUUAUAUGCACACCGUGUGGUGAGAGGACCACUGUUGAGUGUGACAUUGCAGAUGAUGCGUGGGCUUUUGCUCUCGACGACGGUCUGCUCAACACACCCGACAUGGCGGGUGUGUUGAGCGGGACCAGAGGAGACGAACGCUCAUCGUUGUUUGGAUGCGCGCUCGUUGACAAAGCUGCAAGCAGCGACCUCACAGGUCGAGCACUUUGUUCUGAACGGGCUCGUUAUCAACAGGAAGUUGAAUUUUAAAACAAUAAAUGUCCAUCCUUGUGGUACCAGACUGUAUUUCCAUUUCUCGUACUCGCACUUCAGACACACUUAAGUGCUGACAGUCACCUGUGUCACAGCGCUGCAAUAACAAACAAUCCUCUCUGUUCAACUCCCAUGAAAUUACCGUUCGGGGAGAUGUUUUACUUUAUUAAAAAAGGUGUAUAAUGAUACUGCGGUAAACAUUUUUUUAAUGUAGAAAUAUAUUUUCACUACGCAGAGGCAGAACAUGUAUAACAGUCAUAUGACAGUUCAGCACCUGCCGACAGUAUGAGGUCCCACAAACGGUGCAGUGGGUCGACACACAUUGGCUGGAUUUUACCAAAACAAUGAAGAUCCCACUGUCAUCCACAGUGUGCAGAUUGUAAAGUGUAAUAAUUACACUGAAUGUGAUGAUGCACAGCACAUAAACACUUCCACAGCACACAAAAUGCACUUUGUGUACUUAAAGAAAAAAGGGGAAAACACACACACACACACACACGCAUCUGCAGCUUACAGUGAAAAUGCACGUCUGGUGAUGUUAGGAGGGAGUGCGGCAGAUAUCCUAAAGCCCGUCUCGUAGCCUGGGCUCUUGGCACUCGCCGCUGCCUCUCAGCGUUUUCGCUUGAUUAAAAAAGCGCCCAGGAGUUCGUAAGCGUGUGGUAGGUGCGAGCGCACACCCUGACAGCUUAACAUACUGAUUAUUCAAGCCUCUUAGGCUAAGCCACGGCACUCGAGUGAUGAACGUCAGCUCCCCUCUCUUCCACGCACAGUCUCGAUUUCUCCCUCCCUUUUAUUCUUCGUUUCGAAAGAGUGGAAAGCCAGUGACAGCUUGCAGAAAGCAAACCUGUUGUCUGGGAAGCGGAGGGGAUCAGUGACACGGUGAUUCAUACAGCACCGGGGCUUUAUUUAGACAACCCUCCCCUCCCCCCGGUGUAGGGUCCUUGCCCCCAACUUGUAUGGAGGGCCGGGCUGGGUAUUGUCCUACAGCGUAGACCACAGGACAAGAGGUUUAAUGCAUUGGUGAUUGUCCUCUAUACUCUGAUGUCCCCCUGCAAAGGUCACAUUAUCACUGCUGUUUUGUCAUUAUAACUAAUUGUACCCUUUUUCCGGGACGCCUAAUGUGUAGGAUCUGGUGUCAUCCUAGAUGAUGUAUUUCACCCUCCCUGCUCUGUGGUUACUGCACAAGGGCACAAUGCACAGUAUUGGCAUCACAGUUUCUGCAUAACUGUCCCCUUUGAUUUUCUGCAGCGAGAAGGUUUAAACUCAUGCAUAUUCAUGUUCUCAUUAAAAAGUCGUUGUAGACAUAUAGACACAUUCGUGUAACGGUUACGCUGAAUUGCACAGGGAUGUGUGUACGCGGUGUGUGCCAGUUGGUGGUUCUGCCAGUAAAAGCCGUCCCUUUCUGUGUAGGCUGUGGGUUCUCUGAGCUCGCUGGCAAAGGCCGGGGCCACUACCGCCGAGUCACACCUGUACAACAGAUCGGCCCCGGCUGGAGGCCGAGGCAAGAACCGACACAGCAGACGCUCACCUCGUGAUUCAACUCCUGAAGUGGACACGCUCAAUGGAAGGGAGGAUAAAAGGCCACUUCAACAGCAUUGCAUCCGUCACAGUAAAAAAGGAUAUGAAAAAUAAGAUGUCUGUCAGAUCUCUCAGUAUGUUGUUCUCUUGUUAUGUUCUACACGUUUGCAUAAAUAAAAUAAACACUUUGGUUAGCUAGUGUCAAUUAUUUAAGGCAGCAGGACAAAGCCCUUCAAAACACUAUUACAAAGUGCUUUACUGGUAACAAAAUCCUAUUUAGGUGUCAUUAAGGUCGGAUAUGAGGGAACAGCCUGUGCAGGGAUUCAGCAGGUUACCACAUUCAGAUGCAAGACUCAAGACUGGAAGUGUUUUGAUCAGUGGCCACUGGGGGGGCCGGGGGGGGUACUUUUUCAAAUAUGAUAUCAGAGCAAAAUCAAUGCUGUUCCAUCAAAAACGCAUUACUAUUACCAUUGCGCAUUGAAGAUGUUACCAUGUUAUUUACUGCUUUUUUUGUGUUGGAACAUUUUUAAAUAUAGUAAUGUUAACGGUAAUAGUAAUGCGUUUUAGAUACCUACCUUCAUUAUUUGAUGGUAAAUCAUACUGGGAUGUUUGCUGAAAUCGAUGACCGUACCUGGAAAAUAUUCCACCGGCUGCCAUUGAUUUCCUGAUUGCCUCUCAACAUUUCACCGACGAUCUUUGUUAAAGAGAGUGAGUUUAAGAGGAUGAGUUUUCAUUAUCUAUGAUGCGGUUGUCAGGCUGGUGAACAAGCCCGGGCAACCAGUCUGUCAACGCUGCCGUUCAAUCUCCUUCAUGUGUCUCUUCUUUCUCAUUUUCUCCUCCGGUCUCAGAGGAGAAACGAUGCCAUAGCCGUGCUCUCUGUUUCCCUGACACACUUUGCCUGAACGCUCUCUUCAUUCAUUUAUACCCUUUUUAUUUUCAUGCUUUCAUACUUUACGCCAUGCGCUGAGCAGGAUGCCAAGUCAGCGAGAACUCAGCCGAGUGCGCUUAAGCAGAUGUAGAAAAGGAGGCGAGCUUGAGAAAACCCUUCCGUGGGUUUCUGCCGCUGGGGUGCGUUCAGCAUCUUAGGUGGUGGGUUUGAUGGUUUGUAUGUGUGUGUCAGGGUGGAGGUGGGGGGGGGGGUCAGCAUCUUAGGUGGUG
ensembl:lncRNA